rnacentral:lncRNA from 10 species
AGCAGGUCUCAGCCUUAUUUUACCCAGCCCCCAUUCACCAUGGAGUUGCUCUGGUUCACAUGCCACUGACGAGGUGGUCAGGGAAGGCAAUUCCUGGAAAGAAUUUUGGAGAAAAUAAUAGAAGAAAGCCAGAGCUCCAAUAAAGUCUACCCAGUGGGAGUUGGCAAUUCAGACCCAGGGUUGCUGAUACGACAUCAUCUACUCAUCCAAGAUAUGCUGGGCUUCUACAGUGCAGCAGGCUCCCUCUAGGCGCUGGGGAUGCUACUGUGAACAGGACUCCCAAGGGUCCUGCUUUCAUGGAGCCGAGUAUGCUGGGAAUUCCAUUAGUGUCAUUGUAGGGGGGGUCUGAGAAACAAAAGAAAUAAAAA